rnacentral:rRNA from 1 species
UACAGAGGGUGCGAGCGUUAAUCGGAAUUACUGGGCGUAAAGGGUGCGUAGGUGGUUGUGUAAGUUAGGUGUGAAAGUCCCGGGCUUAACCUGGGGAUUGCGCCUGAUACUGCAUAGCUAGAGUACUGUAGAGGAAAGUGGAAUUUCCAGUGUAGCAGUGAAAUGCGUAGAUAUUGGAAGGAACAUCAGUGGCGAAGGCGACUUUCUGGACAGAUACUGACACUGAGGCACGAAAGCGUGGGGAGCAAACAGG